rnacentral:tRNA from 1 species
ACCUGGCUGGUUCAUUUGGUAGAACAUGUGACUCUUGAUCUCAGGAGAUGAGUUUGAGCCUGAUGUGGGGUA